GCUACUAUGUGGGAGCUCUAUAGCACUGGAUGAGGGGAAAGCUGUUCAGAGAGACAAGUUUCCUGGCAAAAGGAUCCAGGGAAGGUUUAUCAUACAGAAGAUGACUCCAAGAGCCAGAGCAUUAUUCAUCUCAUGACUAGCAGCAACAACACGGACGCCCAAAAUAAGUAAAGGGAACCUGCUAUGGCUGAGGUCACAAAGAUUAAUUGGGGCCACUGACUGUGCUAUCUUGAAAUGAAACUGAGAUUGAUUUGUUUACCUGAAACAUCUGCAGGAGGUGCAAUGCAGUUGGAGGACCAUCAGUUCCUGAUUUCUCUUGCACUGAUAGUCUGACCAUCAGGGCAUGGUGUUAGGUUCAUAUCUUUAUUCAGUGUGUGUUCUGCCUACUCUCCAUGGGGUAGCUGGUGUUUAGCUAGCAAUAUUGGGCAUUAUGACUUCUGCUGCACGUGUUGUUUGUGUGUGUGUUAAUGCUACAUACACCCUGAGUCCUUUUGUAACAGGCACGUGUUACAAACAACUUAUUUUGUUAAUCAGUUGUGAAAUCCUUCUUUGAUGUAUUUAGGCAUAUGGCAUUGUCCAUACAAAAUGCUACUGCUACUACAGAACAGAACACAGCUGCCUGACUAGUAAUCUCCUGUUUUCUCUAGUUGUCUUUAUAUGUUGUCUUCAAGACUGCUUAUAGACUCUGCAAAUUCAGCAAUGCCUUUAACUCCAUGAAAAACAUUUUAAUUGAACUGCGUUUUCCCCUCUGCAUGUGAAAUAGAGGGGUCUUUGUUUUUCCUUUUUGCUUCCUUUUUAAAUAACCGGUCACAGCACCAAUAAAUUGAAAAUCCACAUGCAGUACUUAAAAUACUGUCUUGCUACUCAAUGUUCUUCCUGUGUGUCAUAGUCAUUCAUCUGGCUUACCAAAGUAUGUGCAUCACAAAGCACACAUUCCAAAUCAGAACACAGAGAUUCACUCAGAUGGCUUAUAUAUAGUUAUUCCUUAACAUACUAGUGAUUUAGUUCCCAAACACAGUAGUAGCACAAUUAAAUGGUAGUAUUGCAGAGAAUUACUGGCCUGCAGCCAGACCAUGUUGGACUGUGAAUUCAGCAGAUCUGUCAAGCUUAAACUGGGUUGGGUCCGUUCAGAAGCUUUAUAGAAAAACCUCCAAGGAGCACUCAGAUUCUGGAGGAAGUAAUGCUGCUGAUUUAGUAUGUGUCACUUUUCCCUCAGUCAGUAUUGACUCAAUGCUUCAGCUUUGUGUAGAGCAGUGAGGUGCUAUUGGAGAUGCUGUUAUUCUUAGAAAACAUAUCUCACUGAGGUUUCCUGACUAGAGCUAGACACAAUUUUUCUGUAGUCAAUUUUUU